CCCGCUGAACUUAAGCAUAUCAAUAAGCGGAGGAAAAGAAACUAACAAGGAUUCCCCUAGUAACGGCGAGUGAAGCGGGAAGAGCUCAAGCUUAAAAUCUCCGUGCAAGUUUUGCGCGGCGAAUUGUAGUCUAUAGAGGCGUGGUCAGCGUGGGCGCUUGGGGCAAGUUCCUUGGAAGAGGACAGCAUGGAGGGUGAUACUCCCGUUCAUCCCUGAGUGGCUCGUGCGUACGACCCGUGUUCUUUGAGUCGCGUUGUUUGGGAAUGCAGCGCAAAGUAGGUGGUAAAUUCCAUCUAAAGCUAAAUAUUGGUGCGAGACCGAUAGCGAACAAGUACCGUGAGGGAAAGAUGAAAAGAACUUUGAAAAGAGAGUUAAAGAGUACCUGAAACUGCUGAAAGGGAACCGAAUCGUUUCCAGUGUCUAUAAUCCGUGGCAUAUUUCAUUGGCGAGUGUGCGCGUGCGUGUGCUGUGGCAGUGGCUUUUUUGGCUGCGCUCGGUGCGUGUGYUGUGUGUGCUUGCUGGUGCCCUGUGCUGCGGUGGGACGUCAAGGUCAGUUCGUAUGCUGCGGGAAAUGGCUGCCGAGGAGGUAGGGCUUACGCUCCGCGUUUGUCUGUUAUAUCUUGGUGGACGAGUCGUCGUGGUUGGGACUGAGGUGCCUACAACGUGCUUUUGAGUGGGUUCGUGUCUCCGUGUGCGCCGUGUGCGGAUAGCUUGCUAUGCGUGUGUGGUUGUGCGUGGAUUGGUGCGGGCUUUAACUUGUCGCCGUUCGGGACGUUGACGAAAUGGAGCGAUCCGACCCGUCUUGAAACACGGACCAAGGAGUCUAACAUGUGUGCAAGUGUUAGGGUGUGGAAACCCCAGCGCGAAAUGAAAGUGAAGGGCAGCGCAAGUUGUCUGAGGUAGGAAACGUUGCGGGCUUCGGUCUGCGGCGUGGCACUAUCGACCGAUCAUGAACCUUCGUGGUGAAAGAUUUGAGUUUGAGCACAUAUGUUGGUACCCGAAAGAUGGUGAACUAUGCCUGAGUAGGGUGAAGCCAGGGGAAACUCUGGUGGAAGCUCGUAGCGAUUCUGACGUGCAAAUCGAUCGUCAAACUUGGGUAUAGGGGCGAAAGACUAAUCGAACCAUCUAGUAGCUGGUUCCCUCCGAAAUUUCCCUCAGGAUAGCAGCAACUUAUUUACGAUAGUUUUAUGAGGUAAAGCGAAUGAUUAGAGGAUUCGGGGAAGAAACUUCCUCGACCUAUUCUCAAACUUUAAAUCUGUAAGACCUGCAGGUUUCUUAAUUGAACUUGUGGAUGUGAAUAUCAAGUUGCUAGUGGGCCAUACGGGGUAAGCUCGUCUGGCG
rnacentral:rRNA from 1 species